ACACAUUCUGACAUGUCUAUAUUUUGACUCUGAAUUGGGUGAAUGUAGUGGUGAGUCAAGCCAGGCACCGAAUUUACUACUUAUUUUACUACAGUUCAUUGCAUACUUGUUCAGUGGAGGAAAGUACCCGGCUAAUUCUAAAGGAAAACAGAUUUAAGACCUUAAUGCAGUGAGAAGCACGAAGAAGAUGUUGAAGUGAUCUCCUUGGAAUAUAAUCUCUAACGUUUGGGUUGCAACCCAUUGGAAUCAAAGCUUUAUUAUUAUCUUUUUUUUAACAGUAAUAAAAAUUAAUAAAUAUAGACUACUUUCCAAGUCUUUUAUUGAGGAGAAAUUUGUGAGAAUUAGAAAAGAUGUGUGAGGAUAUGUAAGAUUUUUUGGGUUGAGGGAUGAUAAAGUGGAUUUGUGAGGAUGAUUUAUUGUAAGUUUAUAAAUUUAUCUUUGUUAUUAAAAAUAUUUGAAUAAUAAAUUAUGAUUUUUUGUGUGUGUAAGUUUGAAUUAAAUAAAUUUUUAUAAUAUAUAAUAUCCAUAAUUACUUGUAUUUUUUAAUAAAAAAAUAAAAAAUAUAAUAGAAAAUAUUUUUGUGUUAAAUUGAAAUAAAUUUAUUAAAUAUAUUAAAAUUUAAGAAAAUAAUAUUUAUUAUUAUAUUCAUUUGUUAUUUUAUAUAACAUAUAUGUGUGGUUGAUAUUACAAUUUUAUUUUAUGAUUUAUAAUUAUUUUUUGUAAUUAAUAAUAUAAUUAAAUAUUUUUAAAAUUGUUAAAUAAAUUUAUGUAAUAUUUAAUUUUGUAUAUUGUAUAUUAUAUAUCAUAGUAAAAUGCAUGCACAAAGUAUUUGAGUAAAAUGUAAAAUUCUAUAUGGAAUCAGCACAAAUAUUUUCAUUUGUGUGAAGAUUGAAAAAAUAUUCUCUACUUCUCUCCCAUCCACUCCCAUACCCUCAACAUCCCUUAAAAAAUAAAAAAACACCAUCUUCCACCUUCUUUCUCUCUCUCCCUACCUGAAAACAAACAAAACAUAAAUGCAUAAUAAACGUCCUAUUCACUACCAAUGUUUCUAACUACCACUAAAAAAACCGCAUGUUUAUAUUAUCCUACAAUUAGCGUUGAAUUCUUGAAUUGCAUAAUUUGAAAACAUCAAUUAAUCAUUCAUCCUUUAAUAUUCAUUUCGUUCAUUAUACGCCUUGUGAGCUUCAUUGUGAAGUUGCAAAGGGAAUAGAUGAAGUGAGUUGCAUUCAGUACAGAUUCAAACAUCUUCCCACCAACGUUGUCAAGGUGUAUAGAUGAAUCCAGAGGGGCGGUGGAAGGAGGUUCGGGGUCGUCGGAGGGAGGUCCAGGGGUGUACACAUAAUUACACUAAUUUCUUUUUCUCUAACUUUCUGAGGACUCAUAAGGAAUUUGAUAUGUUUAAGAUUUUCCAGAAGUGGGCUAGGGUGAAAGAAGUAUUCAUAUCAUGUAGGACUAACAAGUGGGGAAGAAGAUUUGGGUUUGUGAGGUUUUUUUUAUGUGCAAAAUGCAAUUAAGUUGGAGAAGGAGUUGGAUAGGAUUUACAUUGGUGAUAGGAAAUUAUUCGUUAAUAUCCCAAGAUAUAAACGAGUUGGAAAUGAAAAGGAGGGUAGACGUUUAAGUGAGGAAAUGAGGCCUCUGGGUAUAGGGAGGAAAGGAAACAACUUGUGUACAAGCCUAUGAAGACAAAUAGUAAGGAGGUUUGGAAGGAGAAGAGAGGUAAGGGGUUACAAAAGGUCCAUAAGUUCUCCUAUGUUGAUGCUGUAAGAAUAUCUCCUCAAGGGACUUGGAAAGGCCCGAUAGUCGAAAGGAGUAUUGAGAACGGCGGUUUGGGGGUUGAUGGAGUUAUCCUUUCAGAACACAGUAAGACGGAGAGAGGUGAAUUAGGAGAAGCAAGUGAGCUUUCUCUAAACGCUUCUCAAUCUUUAGUGAAGAAGGUGACCGAAGCAAUGCAUGGUACUUCCAGUGGCCCUCACGGAAUCUGUAUAGAUGAAAUGGAGAAAAAAGGAGCACAAACAGGUUUUAUCAAUCAUGGACGUUGAAUCGAAGAAGGGAGUGAAAAGGCUAUGGAGCACUUAGUCUUCGAAGGGAUCCAAGAUGACGCUGUUAAUACUUGUACCGGUACUGGGCGAGGCCGGGACCCACCUGCCUGCCCGACUCCCAGUCAAGCCUGACCGAGAGACUGAUAAGUCAAUAUCUUCAGAAAUCUGGCCGAACGGCCGGCAGACCGAGACCUCCAUAUACUUGGCCGACUGAUGAAUGGCCGAGACCUUCGUAUACUUGGCCGACUGACGAAUGGCCGAGACCUUCGUAUACUUGGCCGACUGACGAAUGGCCGAGACUUCCGUAUACUUGGCCGAUUGAUGAAUGGCCGAGACCUUUGCAUACUUGGCCGACUGACGAGUGGCCGAAACCUUUGGAGACUUAACUAAGAUGGUCGAAGACCACACUUAUUUGGCCGAUGGCCUACCCUCACCAUGAGAAUGUGGCCGACGGCCGAACCCUAUUACGAUUAACGCUCAAACCGAGAUCAGUAAAGCUAAUCCAUCAUCAAGAAUUAGGUAAUGCAACCCUAAGCGGUAUCCACCUCGAUAAACGGGCCCAACAAGGUAGGCCCAUUAGAAUAAUAUAAAUAGCACGCAUUCCAAGGAGUAAGGUAUGUCAUUAUUACUGUUCACCUACCUGAGAGCUAACCGUCCGCUUUACUGACUUGAGCGUCGGAGUGCCUUCACAGGUACCCCCACCAUCCGGUGUCCACCCGACGACCGAGUCCCGAGUGCCGAAGGGUAAACAGAAGAAAGAGAAGGAUCCCAGUUCAUCACCUAGCCACCUGCCCGACCGAAGGAAGGAGAAGAAGACUUCAACAGUUCUCUAGGUCCCAUCUCCCUAGCAGGAACAAUACUCCUGUGAAUGAUGGUCGUAUCAAUGCAAGGUCCCACGGAGAGCGCGGUGGAGAGGAAGGAGAAAGCAUGCCAGGUUUAGCGGUGGGCAUUAAUUUGAGUGGGAGCCAAGACGAGCCCAAAGAGGAAUGCCUAAGGACGCCUAUAGGGGUAUGCAGAUUAUGAUCGAGAUGGGAGCAGGGGGAAUCGAGUAGACAACAUUGGUGGAGAUCGAAAGGGGGAGCAGGGUCCUUGCACUGUGAGAACAACUCUUCAUCCAGGUCUGGAUCGUUUAUUUUAAAUAAUUCUGAUAGUGAAAUCAUGAAUUGUAAUGAUCGUAUCAGAUCUUAUGUGAAUUUAGCUGAGUCGUCUAGUCUAUGGGAGAUGGGUAAACAAUUUGGAUUAUUUUGCUUAAGGGAGGAAGAUGUGGUGAUAAGAGAGUUUGAGCGUAUGGAGGACAUGGACUAUGAUGUGUUGAAGAAGUUUGAGGAGGGUAAUGAAAAUGGUUGUUUAUGAUUAUCAUCAGCUUAAAUAUCAGAGGGCUAGGGAGGGGAACUAAAGCUAAUUACAUCAAACAUAUUGUUGCAAAGGAGGGAGCAAAAUUCUUAUGUUUGCAAGAAACAAAAACUUUUGUCGUAACUAAAGCUAGAUGUUUUUCGAUAUGGGGAGAUUGUAACGUCGGAUGGGUUCAUAAUGAAGGAGAAAAUGGAGUAGGGAGUAUGUUAUCUAUGUGGCAUAAGGAUGCAUUCAAUUGUGGUAAUCAAGUGAUGGGAAAGGGGUUCAUAGUUAUUAUCGGGCAUCAUAUCAAAUCCAAAGCUUUUUGUGUUGUGGUCAACGUCUACGCAGAAUGUAAUUUGGCUGAUAAAGUUGCUCUAUGGGAGGAAUUGACAAGGAUUAAAAGUACAAAUCAGUAUGUGGUCUAGGGCAUAUGUGGAGAUUUCAAUGCUGUAAGAUGCACAAAUGAGAGAAAAGGGUGUGAUGGGUAGUGGUAGUCAGAAAGGUGAAAUUGAUGGUUUUAACAGUUUCAUUGAGAGGAAUUUUCUCUUGGACUUACCUCUUGUAGGUAAGAAGUACACCUGGUACAAAGCGAAUGGUAAGGCAAAGAGUAGGCUAGACCGUUUUCUUGUGUUCGACGAAUGGAUGCAAAUGUGGUCAAUGCACAAGCAGCGUGUUCAACCAAGGGAGGUAUCAGAUCAUUAUUCUAUUGUGGCUAAAUUUGUGGUAAAAGAUAGGGGCCCAAUACUGUUUAGAACUAUCGAUGCUUGGAUGCUUGGCAAUUGGAGCCUGGGUUUAAGGAGAUGGUGAAUGUUAAAUGGCAGUCAUAUGAGGUGCAAGGAAAUGGUCUUUCUAAAGUUAAAGACAAGUUUAAGCUUUUGAAAGCCGAUCUCAAAAUAUGGAACUGUGGUGUGUUUGGAUGCUUGGUUGCAAGUAAAAAGAGGGUUCUGAAGAAAAUUGAGGAUCUAGAUGUUCUAGAUAAUUCUAGUGACCUUGGCGAGGGUGAUAAGAUGAGAAGACUAGAGCUUGUUAGCCAGUUAAGGGUGAUCGAUAAAAAUCUUGAAUCGGUGUCUAGACAGAAAGCAAGGACAAAUUGGAUUAAGAAGGGUGAUCUAAACACAAAGUUUUAUCACUCUGUUAUCAGAUUGAGAAAGCUGAGAAACGCGGUCAAAGGGGUUGAGGUAGGAAAUGUGUGGUGUGAGGAGCUGAAAACUGUUAAAAGAGUAGCCAAAGAGCUGUUUGAAGAAAGAUUUAAUGUGUCUGUUGACUGGGAUGUAAGCCUGGGGUCAGUGGAUUUCAAGUCCUUACCAAGGGAGGUUAGUUGGAGUAUGAUUGCAGAUGUCAUGGAGGAAGAAGUCAAGGAGGCGGUAUGGCAAUGUGAAGGAUCAAAGAGCCCAAGACCGAAUGGGUUCAACUUUAAUUUCAUAAAGUUUAAUUGGGAUACUCUCAAGAAAGACUUGAUGGAAGCAGAUCUAUGUUACCAAGAAACGGGGCACUUUCCGAAGGGAUGUAAUGCAUCCUUUAUUAUGCUUGUACCAAAAGUUAAUGAUCCAACAAGCUUAAACCAAUACCGUCCGAUCUCCCUAGUAGGUGCUCUCUACAAAAUAGUUAUUAAGAUCCUAUCGUGUCGGGUUAAGAAGGUAUUUCAUUUGGUUAUCAAUGAUAGACAAUAUGCAUUCUUGAAGGACAAAGGUAUGUUAGAUAGUGUCUUAGUGGCUAAUGAGGUGGUUGAGGAGUUAAGGAGACAUAGGAGAAGUGGGUUGUGUUUGAAGGUGGAUUACGAAAAAGCGUAUGAUUCGAUAAGGUGGAACUUUUUAUAUGAUAUGCUUCAGAGGUUGGGGUUUCAUUGGAAAUGGAUUAAGUGGGUCAAAGGUUGUUUGGAGUUGGCAGUGUCAGCGUUGAUUAAUGCUAGCCCAACGAGAGAGUUUAAGCCUUCGAGAGGGUUGAGGCAAGUUGAUCCCUUAACCCCGUUUCUCUUUUUGGUUGUAGCUGAAGGAUUAGCAGGGUUAGUAAAACAAGACCUUAAGAAGAAUUUGCUGAAGGGUAUAAAGGUGGGGAGGAAAGACACUGAAGUGUGUAUGCUACAAUUUGCGGAUGACACUCUUUUUAUGUGUGAAGAUUCUUACACAAAUGUAAUUGUUGUUAAAGCUAUCUUAAGGUGUUUUGAACUUGUCUCUAGCCUGAAGAUCAACUUUUACAAAUCUAGAUUGCCAGGUAUAAAUGUCGAUCGAAACUCCCUUCUCUGUUAUGCAAAGUCCUUAAAUUGUUCUUUAAUGAAAGUUUCCUUCGUUUAUCUCGGGAUAAAAGUUGGAGGUAAUCCUAGGAAGAAGCAGUUUUGGGAACCAAUUAUGAACAAGUUAAGUGCUAGACUAAGCUUGUGAAGAGGGAAAUUUUUGUCGUUAGCGGGAAGAGUCACCCUUAUAAAGUCAAUCUUCUCGUCUCUACCUUUAUUUUAUUUCUCUUUCUUUAAAGUUUCGGUAUCAAUGUGUAAUAAAAUCAUGAGUAUUCAGAGGAGGUUCCUAUGGGCUUGGGGAAGAGAGAACAAGUCUAUAUCUUGGGUAAGCUGAGAAAAUGUUUGUAAACCUAUGGAGGAAGGAGGUUUGGGGGUCAGAGAUGUUACAAUGUUUAAUUGCGCUUUGCUGGCAAAAUGGAGGUGGGGGAUGGUAAGCAAUGAAUAGGGCUUGUGGAAGGAGAUUAUAGAGUCCAAAUAUGGUCUGGAACUAGGCCGCAGUUUUUGUCAUAAGAAGGCGCAAUCAUGGUGGUGGAGGGACCUUUGUAAAGUGUGUGGUGAUGGAGAAGGAAAAUGGUGGUUCCAAGAAGCUAUACGCUGGAGAGUUGGAUUAGGGGAUAUAGUCAGAUUAUGGGAGGAUUCUUGGAUUGGAAACAAGAUGUUAGAUGAGAUGUACCCAAGGUUGUAUUCCUUGUCUCUAGAUCAGGGGUUGAUGGUGAGUGAGGUAGGGAAGUGAGAGGAUAAUGCAUGGGAAUGACAAUUAACAUGGAGAAGGGAAAGGUUCGUGUGGGAAGCCCAACAAGAAGUAGAUCUCCUUAGAUGCAUGUUCAGGGAUGCUCUGAUCAAGGAGGAACCAGACUUGCGGUUUUGGGGUAUGGAUGAUUCAGUGGAUUUCUCGGUCAAAUUAGCAUAUAAAUGCUUGACUAAUUGGGAUGAGGACCUGACAGAUAAUGUGUUCCAACAGCUAUAGCUAAGUAAAGCAUUGCCUAAUAUUCUAUAUACAGCUUGGAGAGUACUUUUGGAUAGGUUGCCUACGAGAAUGAAUCUCAUUAGGCGAGGAGUGUAAGUGAUGGAUUCGAACUAUGUGAUGUGCCAAGCUUCGGAAGAAUCUGCUCAUCAUUUGUUUCUAGAUUGUCAUAUUGCACAACAGGUAUGGCACUUGUGCCUUAGGUGGAUAGGGGUCCUAUCUGUUCAGCAUAUGGAUAUGAAGUGCCACUUCGAAAGCUUUAGCUUACCGUUCCUGUCUACAAAACAGAAUCAGGUGUGAGGCGGCAAUUAUAAGGGGUAUUUGGGAACAACGUAAUGCUGUUAUUUUUAAGCAAGAGAAGUUGAAUGCUGAAGAAGUUUUCUUUUUGGCACAAAUGAAAUCUUGGCUAUGGAUGAAAUACAAGGUUCGUUCUUUUAAUAAUGCGUUUUCAAAUUGGGUAUUAAACCCUAUCCUCUGUAUAGGAAGUUACCGGUGAGUUUCUUAGGAGGGUAUAUGUUUACGGAUGGGCCUAUGGUAUAUUUAUCUUGGUAGGAUGUGAAGCUUGUUCUGUUGGUAGGGAUGGGUGGUUAUUCCAGCAGUGGUAGAUCCUGUUUGAUGGUGUAUACAACAGUGUUUAGGUGUUGGACCUGGUGGAGUGAGUUUUUCUUGGUGUGGAUAUUGAUGCAUAGCAAUUCAGAGGGGUUAGGUGCUUAAAAGUGCCACGGUGAAGGUUGGGAUGGUGAGGAAAACGAUGUUGUAGUGUGCUGUUUGGCAAGUUUCUGCUGCAUAAUUUGUCGUAUAUUUUGUUGUAAUUUGGGUGCUGCCACAUUCACUUUUUAAUGUUUCUUCGUGCUGCUGGUGCGUCCUUUGGAUGCUGAUCUGUGUGGCUUUAGCCACAAGCAUUGUCCCUUUUCAGGCUUUCUCAUUACAGGAUAGUUGUAGGCUUUUUGUUAAAGAUGAUGCAAACUUUUUUAAUUUAGCUAUGGGUUUGUAAUGUUGUUGUUUAAGCCGUAGAACGGUUGAUUUUGGCCUAAGCUAUAAGAUACUUUGUGGUUAUGUAUAUGGAUUAGGAUAUCCCAAAAGUAUCUCUGUUAAUUUAAUUUAUUUAUUAUUGAUAAAAAAAUUAAAAAAAUCCAAAUAUAUCAAUAGAGACCGAUUAACUAUUUGUAGCGCCUAUUUUAUAUAGUUUAGUUAUUUAAUGUUAUUGUAAUUAAAUAAAUAUAUCAGUCUAAUUAAGUUAUUUGUGAGUGUGGUUGUGUUACAUGUCUAUAUUAAUCAUUCAAUUAUUGUAGCAUUUAACAUCUGCUAUUGAGAACUGAACAGUCUGAUAAGCUAAAUAUUAUAAAAAUACAAAACAAACAUAUAUAUAUAUAUAUAUAUAUAUAUAUAUAUAUAUAUAUAUAUAUUCCCAGCUUCGGUUAUGUUCGGUUGGGGUAUUUUGUUUUUUGUUAAUUUGUUUGUUUGCUUUGAGCCUUAGGUUUUUGGCCCGCUUGAUUUGCUAUUUUGAUUGGCUGGAUUUUUUCACGGGUUCAUUUAAGAUCUUAGAGUCCUUAUCUUUGUUAGUUCCUGAAAAAACUAUUAUAUUGAUAACUGCAAAGAAUGUGUUUAGAAAGUUUAGUCCUUCACUAUAUUUUUUUCAUGUACAAGAAACAAAAACUAGAGAAUUGAAUAAAUAUAAUGUAAAAUAAUAUUAUAUCAAAACAUUAUAUGUACAUAUCACCCUUUAUAAUUUAAUCAAUACAAUUUUUAUAUUGUAAAUAAUUAAAUUAGUUUUGUAAUGGUUAGUUGAGAUAAAUGAAUUUUACCAUCUUCUUAUUCUUUCAAAAUUUUAGAUUAUUUUUAUCAUAUUUAUUUUCCAAUCAAAGGAAACUAAUUAAUAUUAAAAUGAAAAAAUAUAGGUACAUUAGUUAAGUACCAUAAUUAAUACGUAAAUAAAAUUUGGUUAAAGAUAUACCUCACUGAAAAAAGAUAUAAUUAUAAAAUAACUAAAUAGGUAAACAAGUUGCUAUUAGCAAAACCCUAAUAAACAAAUAUAAUUUUAAGAAUUAAAAAUAAAAUAAAAGACAUAAAUAUAAACUAAUAAAAGAGACACCGUGUGGAUAUAAAUUUAAUAACAUAAAUAUAAAUUAGUAAAGAAGACAGUAAAAAAUACUAAGUGUCCAUCAAUUUAUUCAAUUCCUCUCUAAACAUCUACUUAUGAGAUUUUUAAUUUUUUAUCUUUUAAAUAAAACAAACAAGGCAAUGUUAAAGUAAAAUAAACAAGAAUUUCAAGAACAUAAUUGAAUUAUCAACAAGGGUUCAAAAAUAAUUUUAAAAAGACCAGACUCUUUAGUAUAUGUUACAAGAUUGAAGAAAAAAACUAAAUUGCAUAGAAUCUCGAAAUUAAAUGUGAAAUCAUAAGAUAAUCAAUCUAGAAAAGUUUAAUUUUUCUUGGGGAGACAAACCAAAAAUUACAAAGAAGAAAAAAAAGUAGGUUAGAAGGUCUUGUAGUCUCUGGUGGCUUGUAUCCAUUCAUAAGUUUUUUUUUUCUUGUAGAUUUCAUAUUCAAAUUAUGUUUCAAAUAUAGUUCCCAUUAUGCUUUUUUUAAGAUUUUAUAGAUUCUAGUUUUGAGAUUUUAUAGAUUUUAUUCUCCAUUUUUUUUUUCCAGAUUUUGUUUCCAAUUUUUCGAAUUCCGUAGAUUUAUUUUCAAAUUUGAUUUAAAUAAGCGAAUUGGACUUAACUAACACGUGCAUAAGUACAAUAGACUCUUCCAUACAACAGGUAUUAGACCAUCUACUGUAUUAAAAGUUUGAUAUUCUUUUUAUCAGUAAGAAACAAUAAAUAAAUAAAUAUAGAUAACUUAAGAGAUGACCCAACCCUUAUACAAGAAAUAAGAAAAAUAAGAUAGGGCCUCACACCCCAACCUAUCCCAAGCUCCCAACAAAAGCUACCAAUUAUCCCUAAAUCCAAAAAUAACACAACCAGAGAAGUCCACCCUUAGCAACAACCAAAGUGCACCGAAAGACAUAUAAACAUAAUCAGACUACCAAACAUUAACCUCCAAAAUUAGAGGAACUUUUAAAAAUCCCCUUUACAAAUAACAUAACACCUUAAUUUACCACGAACUCAACAAAAAAAAUCAUAGAUAUCCCUUUUCACAUCACUUUUGCUCGUCCUUAGAGUCUCUUUAUUCUAAUGGAAGAGGAAAAUGCUCCUAAUGAUUAAUAUCUCCUUAAUCCAUUCAGGGGGAACAGACUGCUUAAAACCAAUAUGCAAAACACACAACUUCUUCUUUCCUAAAACAAGGAGUUAGUAGUACAUACCAAAAUAAAGGAAGAAAAUUUAUUUAACAAAUUUCAUACAUACCAAAGGUUUCAAGCACCAAUCAGAAUAAGUGAACUCUACAUCUUUUUUUUACUAGUAAUCCAACCCCAUAAUUUUCUUUGUGCCACCGCAAACACCUUUAUAUAAUCAACUCUCUCAUUCUUAAAAACACACCUAUUCCGAUGUUUUUAAAUUUCAUCUACAAUUACAAUCCACACCUCUCCCCAAAUUUUGGAUAUCGGACCUUUAACAUUUGUAGGGCAGAACAUCAUGAUAUGUACCUUAGCGUCAUAAUGGUUAGAAUUCCAUCUCCUUCUACUUUCAUGAUUAAUUUUGUUAAUCCAUUGCACUAAGUUACUAUACAAGUUUAACACAUUCUCACAUGUCUAUAUUUUGACUCUGAAUUGGAUGAAUGUAGUGGUGAGUCAAGCCAGACACCGAAUUUACUACGUCUUUUACUACAGUUCAUUGCAUACUUGUUCAGUGGAGGAAACUACCCGACUAAUUCUAAAUGAAAACAGAUUUAAGACCUUAAUGCAGUGAGAAGCAUGAAGAAGAUGUUGAAGUAAUCUCCUUGGAAUAUAAAUAUGGGAAUCCACUCUCUAACAUUUUGGUUGCAACCCAUUGCAAUCAAAACUUUAUUAUUAUCAUCUUUUUUCUAUCAG
rnacentral:lncRNA from 1 species